AUAUAAAUUACAAACAGUGAAGCCUAUUUCUCAUGUUCAUAGAGCUUGCAAACUGAUUCAGUAUAUAAACUGAUUGACAAUACAGUGGUACGAUGGUGACAACCAUGGUGGCAGUAAAUACACGUAUAGCUACUCAUACAGAGCCACAGCCCAACAAGGAAUAUAGAGCCACAGCUCACCAAGGAAUACAGAGCCACAGCCCACCAAGAAAUAUAGAUGCGCACCAGCCACACAAGGAAUAUAGAGCCACAGCUCACGCAAGG